CACAACACUGUAACUGACAAGUAACCUGUACGUCUAUGACGUUUUUUGUUUGAAUUGUUUACGUGUUCGCUAUGCGGGGGAAAUGAUCAAACAAGCGGAACUACGUAGCUAAUAACUGUUGUAACGGGGACAGUAUUGUAGCAACACACCUUUAGAGGGAAGGCAAUCCCGCGCUGUGUUAGCUAAGUUUUCAUGUCAUCAGGUGUAGUUCGUAAAAGUUGAAGCGUAUACGUUAUGAUGGUAACGUUAUAAUAAUUAAGGAUGAAGUGUCAGGAAUAAUAAGGGUGAAGUUUGAUUUCCUCCCUUCUGUAAUAAGCAGCCAAUGAGGUGAUAAUUCUGACUAAAACUACAGAAUAAAGCCGCCAGUUAAAAUCAAGGAACGGUUGUGCUCGUGGUUACUGAAGGGAGCUACAACACUAUGUGUGGAGAAAAAAAGGCACAGCACAACAACACCAAAACAGGGCCUGAACAGCUUGCUAUCAUCGGCGGAAAAAUGAAUUCCCAAGUUUAUUAAGACAUUUUGCAGGAGAAUGUAAGGCUAUCUGUCCACCAAUUGAAGCUCAACAGAAGUUGGGUGAUGCAACAGAACAACGACCUAAAACACAGACGUAAAUCAACAGCAGAAGAAAAUACGCCUUCUGGAGAGUCCUGACUUCAACCCGAUUGAGAUGCUGUGGCAUGACCUCGAGAGCAGUUCAUAGCAGACAUCCCGAGAGUAUUGUUGAACUGAAACAGUUUUGUAAAGAGGAAUGGUCCAAAAUUCUUCCUGACCAUUGUGCAGGUCUGAUACGCAACUCCAGAAAACGUUUGGUUGAGGUUAUUACUGCCAAUGGAGGGUCAACCAGUUAUUAAAUCCAGGGGCUCACAUACUUUUCCCACCCUGCACUGGGAAUGUUUACACGGUGUGUUCAAUAAAGACAUGAAAACGUA